rnacentral:lncRNA from 1 species
CGCACAUUUUUGAGCUUCAAAAACGCUCUUCGGAAAUCUACGGGUGUUUUUAUACAGCAAGACCGUGAAACAAGCACUCAGACGGAUGACACACUUGAAGAAACAGAACAACAGACAAAGAAAGCUCACCAUGUUGGUGUCAGUGAUGAGACUGAUGCAGCCGCACAAACUGAGUCCAAAACAAAGCAUUAUCCAAAUGUACAGAGGUCACUCCUCCAGGUGUUUAAAUGUGCCUAUGCUCACCUGGUCCAGCCGUGGUACACAGUCCCAGAACUUGGCGACAGUCAGCCCCUUCAUAGGGCACUACAGACGGAGUUUAACCUGGUAG